rnacentral:rRNA from 1 species
UGAGUACGAGAUGCUACGGCAUCGAAGCAGUCUAUGUCAUACUUCCAAGAAAAGCUUGCACUGUCAGAAACAGAUAAUGCCUGUACCAUAACCGACACAGGUGGGUAGGUAGAGUAUACUAAGGGGCGCGAGAUAACUCUCUCUAAGGAACUCGGCAAAAUGACUCCGUAACUUCGGGAGAAGGAGUGCCUUAUUUUUAAGGUUGCAAUAACAAGAUCCAAGCAACUGUUUACCAAAAACACAGGUCUCCGCUAAGUCGUAAGACGAUGUAUGGGGGCUGACGCCUGCCCAGUGCCAGAAGGUUAAAGAAGUCGGUUAGCAUUCGCGAAGCUGGUAACUGAAGCCCUGGUGAACGGCGGCCGUAACUAUAACGGUCCUAAGGUAGCGAAAUUCCUUGUCGGGUAAGUUCCGACCCGCACGAAAGGCGUAAUGAUUUGGAUACUGUCUCGGAGAGGGGCUCGGUGAAAUAGACUUGUCUGUGAAGAUGCGGACUACCUGCACCUGGACAGAAAGACCCUAUGAAGCUUUACUGUAACUUGAAAUUGAAAUUGGACUUUAUUUGCGCAGUAUAGGUGGGAGGCGUUGAAAAUAUUCUUGCGGGAAUAUUGGAGCCAUCAGUGAGAUACCACUCUUGUAAUGUUAGAUUUCUAACUUUAUAUCAUUAUCUGGUAAAAGAACAGUUUCAGGCGGGCAGUUUGACUGGGGCGGUCGCCUCCCAAAUGGUAACGGAGGCGCACAAAGGUUUCCUCUGAACGGGUAGGAAUCGUAUCUAGAGUGUAAAGGCAUAAGGAAGCUUGACUGUGAGACCUACAAGUCGAGCAGGGACGAAAGUCGGUCUUAGUGAUCUGACGGUGCUGAGUGGAAAGGCCGUCACUCAACGGAUAAAAGUUACUCUAAGGAUAACAGGCUGAUCUCCCCCAAGAGUUCACAUCGACGGGGAGGUUUGGCACCUCGAUGUCGGCUCAUCGCAUCCUGGGGCGGUAGUACGUCCCAAGGGUUGGGCUGUUCGCCCAUGAAAGCGGUACGCGAGCUGGGCUCAGAACGUCGUGAGACAGUUCGGUCCAUAUCCGGUGUAGGCGUUAGAAUAUUGAGAGGAGCCUUCUUUAGUACGAGAGGACCGAGAAGGACAUACCUCUGGUGUACCAGUUAUCGUGCCAACGGUAAACGCUGGGUAGCUAUGUAUGGAGUGGAUAACCGCUGAAAGCAUCUAAGUGGGAAGCCCACCUCAAGAUAAGUAUUCUCAUCACGUAAGUGAAUAAGGUCACGGUAAGACUAACCGUUUGAUAGGCAUUAAGUGUAAAUCUAGUAAUAGGUGAGCUGAGAUGUACUAACAGACCGAAGAC